GACGAACGCUGGCGGCGUGCCUAAUACAUGCAAGUAGAACGCUGAAGAGAGGAGCUUGCUCUUCUUGGAUGAGUUGCGAACGGGUGAGUAACGCGUAGGUAACCUGCCUGGUAGCGGGGGAUAACUAUUGGAAACGAUAGCUAAUACCGCAUAAAAUUGAUUAUUGCAUGAUAAUUAAUUGAAAGAUGCAACUGCAUCACUACCAGAUGGACCUGCGUUGUAUUAGCUAGUUGGUGAGGUAACGGCUCACCAAGGCGACGAUACAUAGCCGACCUGAGAGGGUGAUCGGCCACACUGGGACUGAGACACGGCCCAGACUCCUACGGGAGGCAGCAGUAGGGAAUCUUCGGCAAUGGGGGGAACCCUGACCGAGCAACGCCGCGGGAGGGAAGAAGGUUUUCGGAUCGUAAAGCUCUGUUGUAAGAGAAGAACGGGUGUGAGAGUGGAAAGUUCACACUGUGACGGUAUCUUACCAGAAAGGGACGGCUAACUACGUG
rnacentral:rRNA from 1 species